rnacentral:rRNA from 1 species
UGGGGAAUUUUGGACAAUGGGGGCAACCCUGAUCCAGCCAUUCCGCGUGAGUGAAGAAGGCCUUCGGGUUGUAAAGCUCUUUCGGCAGGAACGAAACGGCGGGCUCUAACAUAGUCUGUCAAUGACGGUACCUGAAGAAGAAGCACCGGCUAACUACGUGCCAGCAGCCGCGGUAAUACGUAGGGUGCGAGCGUUAAUCGGAAUUACUGGGCGUAAAGCGUGCGCAGGCGGUUCUAUAAGACAGAUGUGAAAUCCCCGGGCUUAACCUGGGAACUGCGUUUGUGACUGUAGGACUCGAGUGUGGCAGAGGGGGGUGGAAUUCCACGUGUAGCAGUGAAAUGCGUAGAGAUGUGGAGGAACACCGAUGGCGAAGGCAGCCCCCUGGGUUAACACUGACGCUCAUGCACGAAAGCGUGGGGAGCAAACAGGAUUAGAUACCCUGGUAGUCCACGCCCUAAACGAUGCGAACUAGGUGUUGGAGAAGGAGACUUCUUUAGUACCGUAGCUAACGCGUGAAGUUCGCCGCCUGGGGAGUACGGUCGCAAGAUUA